AGCCAACAUGCAGUCCAAGAGGAGUGGACUUUAGGAGAGGAUGGGCAAUAACUCCUGGCUCUGGCUCCUUUUACCAUCAUUUGCAACACUGAAAAUAAAAUCAAAGUGGGCAUCUCUUGGAUCCCAUGCCAAGCUACUUGGGAGAAGCCAACUGCUCCAGCCAUUACUCUACCCUAGUGACAACCGCAUCUCUCUGAAAUGUACUAUAAGAUCAAAUUAAAGAGCCAGAGCUUUCCGAAGACAGCUGCUGAAAUAUUGUUGCACAUGGAUAUGUUAAACAUAUAAAUAUAGAACAUAGAAUAAUAGAUUUAGAAGGGACCUUAGAGGUCUUCUAGUCCAGUUCCCUAUCCAAGUAGGAGACCCUAUACCAUUACGGACAAAUGGUUGUUCAGUCUCUUCUUGAAAACCUCCAGUGAAGGAACAUCCACAUCUUCCAAAGGUGCUUUGGAGAAUAGAUCAACCUCUUCUUCUCUGUAACAGCCACUCAGGACUUCAUUGAUACGCUGGUGGAUGCAUAAUGCUUUAUCCACAUCUCAGCAAAUUUGCAUACUUCAAUCAAGAUUAGCAUCAGCAUCCAUGACUUUUGCCUCACGACUUCUGCAGCUGGAAAGAUAUCUUGAGUGAACUCCAUCACUUCCACAUUACAGUUUUCCUCUGACAGAAUCUUCCUUUUCUCCAUUUUGCACAAACAAAUAUUAACAGUUUCUAAAACCUCAAUGAUAACCACAUAUAUGCUAGCUAUUCAUUAACUAAAUUUUGGUUUUCAUUAAAUGUGUCCUGGUAUCAGUUUAUAAUUUGCACUAAAUUAUUCCAGUAUCUCAGGGGUUGCCACAAAGAAGAGGGAGUUGGGCUGUUCUCCAAAGCACCUGAGGGUAGAACAAGAAGCAAUGGGUGGAAACUGAUCAAAGAAAGAAGCAAUUUAGAACUAAGGAGAAAUUUCCUGACAGUUAGCACAAUUAAUAAGUGGAACGACUUGCCUGCAGAAGUUGUGAAUGCUCCAACACUGGAAAUUUUUAAGAAAAUGUUGGAUAACCAUCUGACUGAGAUGGUGUAGGGUUUCCUGCCUGGGCAAGGGGUUGGACUAGAAGGCCUCCAAGGUCCCUUCCAACUCUGUUGUUAUAUUAUAUUAUGUUAUAUUAUAUUAUAUUAAAUUGAAUAUCAGAUUAUUCAAACUCACAAUAAUUGUGAUCUUGCUACAGAUGUCAGGGGAAAAAAUGCAAUUUUCUGUAUCAGUUUGCUGCUAUUUAAUGGUUGUUCAAAUUUUUUUAAACCCCAGAUUUAGUAGCUUUCCUUAUAUUUUGGUUCUUGGGCAAAUUACUUCUCUUUAGCCUUCAUAUUUUGCCUGCUAAUAAAGAAUUAUUUUGUGAUAUGCCUGGCCAGAUAGGAGUGGCCAUAGCAGAAAAGUAACAUAUCAAUCAAAAUAAUAAAGAAGAAUAUUUGUAGCUCAGGGUUGAAAUGUUUUCCGCAAGAAACAAUCAGAGAGCACCAAGGACCCCUCAAAUCAAAAUAAAUCAAAAUGAUUUUC